rnacentral:lncRNA from 1 species
UCCAACUUUUCUUUUAUUUCCUUCUAUGUCCUUCCUCCAUUGUUAAACCAUCCAAGCUCCAAACUUUUAUUUUCUUUGAAAUUUCUUUAGUAAAGCUAAAAAGAAGACUAGUGAGCAACUUUAUUCCAUGAGGGAACUUACAUAGAUGGGUUAAAAGAGAUAAAUACAUGAGUUAGGGUUUUGGGUUUUCAAAAAGUCAAAGUAAGGAUGAUGGAAAUUCUCAUAAGAUACAUGUUUAUUAUCAUAAUCUAGCAUAGAAAAGUUAUUUGAUUUUUAAUUUUAACUUAUAAAUGUUAUAUGUUGUUAUGAAAUUGAAGAAAAAGAGAAAAAGUUUGAGGACAAAAGUGAAGGGAAAGGAAAAGAAGUGGCCAAUGAGUAGAAGAGAAGAAAAACUCAUCAUCUAAAUAUUGGUUGUAAGUACUUCAAGUAGUAAUUUUGUUUAAGUUAUGUUAAUUAAAUAAUUAUGUUAAUUAAGUAGUUUAAUUAUUAAAUUAAUGAUAUCAUAAUAAGUAUUUAGUAGGGGUAAGUAAUGUAAAUGUUACGAAUUUUGAUUUUAGUGUACCAUUAUAUGAUGUAUUGUGGUGGUAAUGAAAAGGACUAAAUUGAAAGAAAUUAAAAUAUGUUAUGAUAUUAUGAAUAUAUAGAUAGUGAGUUUAAAUGAAGUGAUGUAAAAUAUUAUAGUAUUGUAUGUGGUAAAAAUGAAGAGAAUUUACAAGUUUUAGUGUUAUUAUAAUGAUAAGGACUAAAUUGUAAAAAAUACAAAGUUAUAUUAUUUUCUGUCAAGUGAAUGAAUAAAAAGAUUUAAUAAUAAGAAAAGCUCAUAUAGACGAGUCCCGAACUAUUGGGAUAUUGAUGGCAUGUCAUUAAGGAAAAAUAGCGCGUUUAUCAUAUUAUUUCGCACUUCAGUGCUUAUUGUUGUAAAAUAUGCACUUUGGUGCUUAUCGUUAUUUGCACUUCGUACUUAGUAAUAUGUGACAUGCAUUAAUAAUGCAUUAUCGAUUUAUUUCCGGAUAUCCUAAGUGUUUAGCUAGUCUACAUUGGGCUACAGUGUCGUACUUCUGCUAUUAUCAAUUAAUGGGUUACUGUAAGUAAUGCUAAGUGUGAUUUUUAAGAAAAAUAUAUUAAACUUUAGGGACUAAUUUGAUGAGAAUUAUAUGUAUAUAAAAUGGAAAAAAAUUUAUUUUAUAUUAUUAAUAACAGUAGAUUUUAAAAAUCUUGAAGUACUUACUAAGUCUUCACAGACUUACCGCGUUAAUUCUCUAACGCGUAGGUGAGGUAGAUCCGUUUCGGCUAAUAUUGAGGUCGUGUGAAUCUCAUCUCAUCACCAUUCCAAGAUGCAAGAUUGUAUGUAUGAAUUUUGGGGUUAGUAUAGCAUGUACAUAGGUUUUUGGUAUAGGUGAAUGUUAGAUGGACUAAAAUGCAAAUUUUGGAAACCUUUUU